UUGUGUCGGGGGAAAAAGGCUCCCCCUGAUCCUGCCAUUUUCGGAGCGAUGGCGUUCUUUCACUACCCACAGCCCUUCUAGCCGAAGGGUGUAACGCUAUCGCCUUCUCGCAAACGAGGACUCUACUUUUCAGGCAGAACCAAAGGCCACAGAGAGCAGCAGAGAGGCGCACCUCCCACCGCUUGGAUACAACGACGAGACAGUAAGAACGUGAUCUCCUACGUGUGGUAUAGAAAAAGUAGCUGCAGCUUUCCCGGUUGCUGCUUGUUUAAGCUGCCACACUUUCCUCUUUGCAAAGCAGAGAAGGUGGCGAGCCUGUGGAGAAGGACGUCCCACAAGACUGCACACGUGGAGAGGAAACUUGAGCCAUGUCUCCAUCGCUGCCUAGAAACGUACAGUUAGCCGUAGGUGGAUAGGCCGGAAUCACUCUCGGAGAAGGAGGAAAACUCGAGGCAAGAAAUGGGUACUUUCCGGGUGUAACAGAGCCAGAGAAUCUGUGCGGACUCUGUCCGCGUACAGACACAAAGCGGAGGGCGUGUGUGCACCGCCCUAGUGCCCUGACGACCGCUACCUGCAGAAGUCUUGGAAAAAGAGUCGAAAGUGAACUGCUGAGUGCGCCUUGUGCACGAGGUGCGGCGCCAGAAGACAAGGUCGAAGCAUUUCUGUAUAAAUGCGUGAGAGUAACACCUGGGCCUUUCGCUAAACUGCCACAGUGAAUGUGUGCGUUCAGUUUGAGCACCUGCCAGGACACAUUUUCUUGCAAGACCAACUGAGGGCAACAUCGUCCCAUUUUGCAGGGGCUUCCCUGCAGGCUCGUUAUUUCUGUAUCUUCUGCUCAUCGCUGGUUUAUGUGUGUGCCCCUCUGCCCCAAUAAACACCCGACCACAGAGAACUUGCUUGGCAUGAAGAAAGAGUGCUGACACGGC
rnacentral:lncRNA from 1 species